rnacentral:tRNA from 1 species
AGAGAUUUAGGCUAAAAAGACCAAGGGCCUUCAAAGCCCUAAGUAAGUACUCAUCAACUUAAUCUCUG